ensembl:lncRNA regulator of cell cycle RGCC-like
GUUUGGGGUGUCUGAUUUGGGGUGGUGAAUGUCUGGGGGUGUUUGGGGGUGUCUGGGGGUGUUCGGGGGGUGCCCCCAGGCCUGUCCCAGUCCCGAGUGGCCGCUCGGGGGGGCGGAGCCUCCCGGAGCCCCCGCCCAGCCCCCGGUGCGGGGCCAAAAGCGGCGGGAGCGGAGCGGGAGACGCCGCCGGGAGCGGAGCCGAGCAGCCGGUGAGUGCCGAACCGAACCGAGCUGAACCGAACUGAACCGAGCCGAGCCGAACUGAACCGAGCCGAGCCGAGCAGCCGGUGAGUGCCGAAGAGAACCGAACUGAACCGAGCGGAGCCGAGCGGAGCCGAGCAGCCGGUGAGUGCCGAACCGAACCGAGCUGAGCCGAACUGAACCGAGCCGAGCCGAACUGAACCGAACCGAGCCGAGCAGCCGGUGAGUACCGAAGAGAACCGAAGCGAACCGAACCGGAGCAGGGCACGCCGCCUCCUCGGAACCCCCGGGAGCGGGAUGGAGCCGGGGCCCCCGGACUGUCCCGGCCGGGAAUUGUGCCCUUGUCCGCCGGCUCCGUGUCCCGGGUCAGGCUGGCCGCGGCUCGGGACAGCUGGGGACAGUCCGUGCCCACGGCAGGGGUGGCACUGGGUGGCUCUGAGGUCCCUUCCUGCCCCAACCCCUCUGGAUUCCAUGGGGCCAGCUCCGAGGGGCUGCGGGAGGGCUGAGCCCCCCAGGAGCCCGGCUCUGCCCGACCCCAGCCGGGACAGCCCCGGGAGGCUCCUGCCUGCCAUUGGGGACCCCAACACCCCCGUGUUCCCCCAGCCAUGGCUGAGGAGCUCGGGGAGCUGCUCAGGGAGUUCGAGGAGGUGAUGGAGCACUUUGAGCGGGGCCCCGCCUGUCAGUACCAGCAGCACCUGCAGGAGCUGAAGAGGAAAGCGGGACAGAGCGUGUAUGACAGUGGGAUCGAUGAGCUGGAGAGUGCCAGCACGUCCCCAGGUAGCAGCCUCAGCUCCAGUGAGGAGCACCUCAACACCCCAGCUGACACUUACCCCACCAAAGCAAAGCUUGGAGACACGCAGGAGCUGGAGGAGUUCAUUGCAGACCUGGAUAAAGCCUUGCAGGGUAAGUGCCCAGCCUCUCUCUCCUCCUCCAGAUGUUUCCCUCCUGGUGAGAGCCCGGGGGUGUUCCUGGGAGAGGGGGUGAUGCUGUGCUGGGCACCUCUGGCAUCUGCACCCAGCAGCUCUGGAGAGUUUGGCUCCUCUCCGAUGGCUGCUUUGCAGGGGAAACUGAGGCAGAAGCCACUUCCUCUCACAGGGGCCCUGUGUGACGGGCUGGAGGCAGAGAGAACCUGGUUAAAAAUAGCAUUAUUACCCCACACAGACUGCGUAAGACACAGCUCUGGUCUCUGUUCCCAUCCCUGGUGUCCAAAACGAGGUGCCUGGUGGGAAGUGUUCCUUCACAGGAUCUGUGGACUGGGAGGGAGGGAGGGAGGGGAGCAGAGCUGCCCCCUGCCCCAGGUGUCUGCUCUGACCCUGCAGCCUGUCACCAUCCUGUGUGUCAUCCUGCAGAGAUGUGAGCUGUGGUGUGGAGAGGAGCAGCCCCAGCCCCGAGUGUCCCCGGUGCCACCUCUGCUUCUGCAGCCCUGGCUGGGGACAAGGACGGGCAGCGGGACGUGGGACGAUGGCACAGCCCUGCCAGCGCCAGGAGGGGACAGCUCUGCGCGGGCUCCGGGGACUUUGGGGUGACCUGGGCCACUGCUGAAGCCCCCAGAGUGAUUCUGGGGAAGAUGAUCUUGCAGGACAUCGCUGUGGCCUCGGUGUCCCCCCCAGGCCGGGAGGGCCCAUCCUUGGUGGCAUCUGCCACUGCUGAGCUCUGCUUUGCAUGGGGAGCCCCAAGUCGGGCUCCUCUCUGCCCCCCAAGUGCCUCUGCCCCAGCUGCUGCUGUAAAUACUGUAAAAAUGAUGUUUUGUGCUGUACAGAGGGGAUGUGGUUCUGGAAACAAGAUUUUAAACCUCUGCCUGUGUCUGUCUUUGUCCCUCUGGCAGGGGUGGGAGCAGGGAUGCCUGGGCUGCCAGCUGGUGGGAUGGGAAAGGGGGAGACCUCAGGGAAGCGAGUUCAGCAUGCCUGGCUAAAGGGGAACGUG